GGUGUCCGCGAGUUGCCGAAUGAAGCUGAGCGUCUCAGUGGAACCAGGGAUCUCAGGGAGAACCUUUUUGUGAUGAAAACGAGAUGAAACUAUGGAAGAACCAGAGAAGCAUCAGCCUGAGAAGGACUCAACUGAUUAUUGCUGGCUUUGAAGACAGGAAGGAGCCAUGAGCCAGGGAAUGCUGGUGACCUCUGGAAGCUGGAAAAGGGAAGGAAGUAGAUUGUCCUCUAGCCCCUUCAGAAAGGAAUGCAGCACUGUGACACCUUGAUCUCACAGUAGAAAACAGAUGAAUACACCUAGAUUUCUUCCUGCGUGAAUCCAGUUGAGGGGAAGGUAUAAAAUUUUCAAAUGGAGGAGUAUACCUGAACCUAAUCAUGGAUGUGAUUUUAUAUACAGAUAAGCUGAUUCUAAAACUUACAAGAAUGGCAAAGAAACAAGAAGAGCUUAAACUGCAAUCAUCAACAGAGAAGCUUUCUGCAACCAAAGUGAAGACUGAAGCCUUAGGCUAUGGCAGAAGUUGGGCGCCUGAAGUACACGUGGAAAUAUGCCAACUGAACAUUGGACUACCACGUCAAGGGUCUCCUACCCCUGGGCCAUGGAUCAAUACCAGUCUGUGACCUGUUAGGAACCGGUAGCAGGAGCGCCUGCCCCUGGCUCAGCGCCCGGUGCCAACAGAACACCUUUCAGGAUCCACAGCAACGCAGACAACGUAAGUACCAGCCGUUCCCUGAAACCCUUUUGCAGAUUUUUUAAAAACAACCACCUAAAACAUAGAGAGAGAGAGACAAGCCUCUUUCCCCUUCUUCUCCCCUGCGUUAUGCCACCAGUGUUUCCUCAGUAGCCCCUUCCAAAUCGCUCUGCCUUCAAGUUUGUGCAUGUCUGUGUGGCAUCCCUCCUCCUCCUUCACUCCCAUAGUGGAUCUUGUAAAAGGGCUUCAGAUCGGCCCCAUUCAUCUCCCUGGUGAUAGCAGUGAAUGUAGAUAAAUCUCUGGCUGCCUGCUUGCUGCUGGAGUAUGAUUUUUAUUUUGUCUUCUGUGUAUACCUGGGUCAAAAAGUGGGAUGUAUGCAUACACAUACAUGCACAUACACAUAUUUCCUUCUCUCUCCUCUCUCUCCCUCCUUUUUCUCACACAUGCAUACAUCCUACAUAUGUGUGUAUAUGCAUAAACAUAUACACCUAUAUACAUACCCAUACCUGUAGCACAAAAUAUAUACAUAUCUAAACGUUUGUCUGAAAAUAUGCAUAUUUAUAUACACAUACAACCUUACACAUGUGUUUAUACGCAAUCGAUAGGUGCCUAUCUUUUAAUUUAUACCCAUCUAUAUCUCCAUUUAAAUAUUCCCUCUCUUCUCCCAGCAGAGGCUGUGUGCAAUUGCAAUCCAGGAUUAUACAAGCAGUAUUCUUUCCUUAUGAUUUCUAGUUGUAGACCUUUAUCCUCCUUUCUCUGCCUUCUUCGCAGCUGUAGAAUUGGCAUCUUUCCCUGAGGUUUUCCGAGUGGCAAGUGGCACCGGCUGUGGCAUGUAUUCAUGCCGCUUCCUAUGGCAUUUCUCUUCCGAUGUCUGCUUUUUCUUUGUUUGUUGUUGACUAGGCUGAAUGGUGGGGUUUUUUUUAAGUUAAUUAUAAACGAAGUUGAAAUAGCAAACAAGCCAACAGCUUGUCCCCCCCACCAAAAGAAAAA
rnacentral:lncRNA from 1 species